rnacentral:rRNA from 1 species
GACGAACGCUGGCGGCGUGCUUAACACAUGCAAGUCGAACGGAAGGGCCUGUCCUUCCUUGUGUUGGACGGGUACUCGAGUGGCGAACGGGUGAGUAACACGUGAGUGAUCUGCCCCCAACUUUGGUAUAAGCCUGGGAAACUGGGGCUAAUUCCCGAUAGGACCGCAGGGUGGUGCCUGUGGUUGAAAACGAUUUUCUAGUGGUUGGGGAUGAGCUCGCGGCCUAUCAGCUUGUUGGUGGGGUAAUGGCUUACCAAGGCGGCGACGGGUAGCCGGCCUGGGAGGGUGGACGGGCACAUUGGGACUGAGACACGGCCCAGACUACUACGGGAGGCAGCAGUGGGGAAUAAUGCACGAUGGGCGGAAGCCUGAUGCAGCGACGCCGAGUGGGGGAUGACGGCCUUCGGGUUGUAAACUCCUUUCGACCGCGAGGAAGCCGCCUGGAUGGAAGGGUGGUGACGGUAGUGGUAGAAGAAGCACUGGCUAACUACGUG